rnacentral:lncRNA from 1 species
GUGCGUAACGUGCAUUCUGGCGGUGCCGGGAGCGGGGCGAGGAGGAGGGUGGGUAUGAGGCGGUAGCGGACCGCGGAGUCGAGACCUACCCGAACGACGCGGGCGAGCGGGGCUUUGGACGCCGGUGGAGACGCAGGCGAGACUCCAGCGGGAGGAAGAAGAGGCCUUUGCCAGCAGUCAGAGCAGCCAAGGGGCCCAAUCCCUCACAUUCUCCAAGUUUGAAGGAAAGAAAACCAACAAGAAGACCCGCAAGGUUACCACAGUGAAGAAAUCUUCAGUACGUCUUCCAGGGUCGGAUCAAAGAAGGAUAUUGAAAUGGAUUCCAGGCGUGUGCCUCGAGACAAGCUGGCCUGCAUCACCAAGUGCAGCAAGCACAUCUUCGAUGCCAUCAAGAUCACCUAGAACGAGCUGGCGUCAGCAGAUGACUUCCUCCCCACCCUCAUCUACAUUGUUUUGAAGGGCAACCCCCAUGCCUUCAGUCUAAUAUCCAGUAUAUCACGUGCUUCUGCAAUCCAAGCCGACUGAUGACUGGAGAGGAUGGCUACUAUUUCACCAAUCUGAAUAACCUCCAUCUCCUGGGUCCCAGCGAUUCUCCUGCCUCAGCCUCUUCCUAUUUCACAAGUAGGGAAACUGAAGCCCAGCAAGCCCUACAUGAAGAGGCCUCUUUGGUGAGUGGCAGCUCAACCUCUGCUAAAUGCCUCCAGUGAUGGGGAGUUCACUACCUUCCAAAGUUUUUAAAAGAUGUUAACCACUGCUAUUCAAGAACAAUUCUAGAAUUUUUUUUUUUUUGAAAGACAAGGUCUCAUUCUGUCUCGCAGGCCAGAGUGCAGUGGUGUGAUCAUAGCUCACUGCAGCUUUGACUUCCUGGGCUCAAGCAAUCCUCCCUCCUCAGCCUCCUGAGUACCUGAGACUACAGAUGUGCACCACCACACUGGCUCAUUGUUUUCAUUUUUUGUAGAGACAGGAUCUCACUAUGUUGCCCAGGCUGGUCUCCUGGCUUCAAGCAAUCCUCCUGCCUUGGCCUCCCAAAGUGCUGGGAUUACAGGCGUGAGCCACUGCAUCUGGCCUUUUUUUUUUGGAGAUAGAGUCUCGCUCUGUCGCCCAGGGUGGAGUGCAGUGGCGUGAUCUCGGCUCAUUGCAACCUCCGCCUUCCGGGUUCACACCAUUCUCCUGCCUCAGCCUCCCGAGUAGCUGGGAUUACAGGCAUCUGCCAACCAUGCCUGGCUAAUUUUUGUAUUUUUUGGUGGAGACAGGGUCUCACCAUGUUGGCUAGGCUGGUUUCGAACUCCCGACCUCAGGUGAUCUACCCGCCUCAGCCUCCCAAAGUCCUGGGAUUACAGGCUGAGCCACCGCGACCGGCCCUGCUGUUGCUUCUGAGGUUUGAAAACCGCUGCCUCAAUGCUCCUGAUUCAGCUCUUCUUACCCAAAGGUUCCCCCACCUCAUCUACUCUGUUCCUGCACAGUCGCCCUUUUCUCUGAUGCCCCGGGCAGGUUUCUCUCUGCCAGCUCCACGCUUCUGGAGUCCCCCAUCCGUCUUGGGGCCCAGCUGCCCACUGUCUGGGUUCAGACCUUCUCAACACUCCCUGGCUUCUCUGCCCUAGUUUUGCCUUCUCCAAUCCACUCUUGGUGGGUGGAAGUACGGUUACCAUGGUAACUUGAAGACAACGCAAAUCUGAUUGUAUCAUUACAAUGACUGGGAAAACCUCCAGUGCCACAAAAUAAAGCUCAAGUCACUA